rnacentral:lncRNA from 1 species
CCUUGACAAUGGAUGUUGGUGGAGGUGGGCAAUCUAUGGUGUAUAUGUGCUGAUCAUUGUGAGUUCUGUGUGUAUGGAAGUCGAUUAUGUGUGGUUGUGGUUGUGGUGGUGUUGGUGGUUGGUUGGAAUAGUGGUGGUACGAGCGAAGAUGGUGAGGUGGGAGUGGUGCAGGUGCUGGUUCGUUGGAGCAGGGGGUGGUGUUCGUCACUGGCGCUCGACUCUAAUUUUGGACCUGAAUUUGAUUUUUUGGUGGUGAUUGGGAUGUUGGCUGUGGGGGUGAUGAUAUUGGCGGCACUGGUGAAGUGGUAAUAAUGUUGGUCAUUGGUGUGGCGAUGGUGCGAUUGUUUGUAGGUGGGAUAACGUUGGGUGGGGACGUUUGUGACCAAUCUUUGGUUAAUUGUUAUCAAUUGUUUGAAAU